UCCAGACUCACCUCACACACAGGGAAAGACUUGCAGCCCAUUGGUCCUUGCUUUUCUUUCCUACUGCCUCUCCAUGUAUGACAGGGGUAGCAGUCCUCAUCUCACAUUCACAGCACCUCUAGCUCAGAAAAAAAAUUGUCACGAGAGGGCAAGAUCAUGAAGAUACCCAGACUGAGUCCCAGCGGAAGUGGAGGAUGACGUCACACUACGUCACCUCGCCGGCUCGCUGGGGCUCGGGAGUAUCACAUGACGUGUAGCAGCCCUGGAAUUGGUGGCGGAACAGUUUGGGACAGAGUGGCGGGAGAACGCUGGUGAGGGAAGAAAGCCCGCGCGUCGCCGACACUGCCUCCUGUACUUGUAUGUGCCUUUGUGAGCUGGAGCGAGGCGUCAAGAAGCCUUCCGAGGGUCGACAAGAGGCCCGGGGUGCCGAGCUACAGCAUAGGACUACUGUGUAGUGUGAGCAACGGAGAAUAGAGGGCCAGAAGCCGACAA